AUUUGCAAAUUCCUACAUAAGUAGAGCCAAGUCAGCAAGUUAUCAAGCCAAGUGGCACGUGCUGAUUGGUGAAAGUAUAAUGGCCUCAAAUGAUAUUAUCUUCCUGGAACUAUAAAUGAAGUGAGGAUGGGGCUCUCCGCUUGUAUUGAACACACAAGAAAAACUCGUAGCUGAGGAGAGAAAAGAUAAGGAAAGAAAAAAAAAUGGCAUCAGCAUCUCUCCUCAAGACAUCUCCAGUUCUUGACAAGACUGAGUUUGUGAAAGGGCAAUCCCUCCGCCAGCCAUCAGUCUCCGUCGUCCGCUGUCAUCCAGCUGCUCCCUCUGCUCUUACUGUCCGUGCUAGCUCCUAUGCCGAUGAGCUCGUUAAAACCGCGGUACAUGCUCUUUUAUAACAUUUUCCUAUCAUGGAGCUCUCCGCUUGUAUUGAACACACAAGAAAAACUCGUAGCUGAGGAGAGAAAAGAUAAGGAAAGAAAGGAAAAAUGGCAUCAGCAUCUCUCCUCAAGACAUCUCCAGUUCUUGACAAGACUGAGUUUGUAAAAGGGCAGUCCCUCCGCCAGCCAUCCAUCUCCGUCGUCCGCUGUCAGCCACCUGCUCCCUCUGCUCUUACUGUCCGUGCUAGCUCGUAUGCCGAUGAGCUCGUUAAAACUGCGGUACAUGCUCUUUUAUAACAUUUUCCUGUCUAGCUACUACUUCAUUUGCUUUGACUUCAGGAGGAGCAGGUCUGACAGAACUACUCUUCACACUUGAUGUGGUAGUUGUUUUACCUAGUCACAACAUGCACGUUAGAUGUCAUAUGUUCUUUUAACUGCUAAUUAGCUAUCUCUUACUACUCUGGAGUAAGAAAUUUUAAAGCAUGGUAUUAUGCAACUACGAAAGAUGAGCUUGCUCUUGGGCCUUAUUUGCAGAGGCAAGUUAUAUGAUUUCAACUUGAUGAGUUUAACUUUAAGGUUACUUAGCAUUGAACUCUUUGUACUUCUAAAAGUAUGGUUCCAAAAAUUUGACAUUGCAGAAAUGAAGGAAUGCGGUAAACUAAACAAAUCGUAAAAUGAGAAUUUACUUGUUUGCGUCGCGUAAGCGCAGCAAGGAACGGAUGAACGACCGCCGAAAUUACUGGUCGGAUGUGGUUGUCAAGAUUGUGUGUCAAAGCAACCGCCUAUUCCACAGUCUAAACCCUAAGUGGAAGAUAUAAGAGCAUAGAAUAAUAGUAUAUUUUAUUGUACAUAAGUGUACUUAUAUAGAGAAUAUUAGGAUUAACUAAUAAUACUAUUGGGCCUUAAAGCACCCCUUACGCGUGGACCCUAUGUUCCGUGUUGAGAUAUUAAGUCUAGCUGAAUCCAUAAACAAUACACUCCAUCUGCCUCUGUCUAUUUGCAUGCCAUUCCUAUAGAGUAGUGUUUUGCUAGUGUUUUCUUCUUUCUUUUUCUUGAUAAAAAGAUGAAAGAAUGUAUUAUUUCCAGUUCUUGAUCAUUUUUCUUACAGUGGUAUUGUUUGUUUUUGCUCAUACUUACAACCACGAUAAAGUGAUGUAUAUAAUAAGGGCUAUUCUAAUCUCAGUAAGAAUAGUCUAAGAGUAUUAGUGUUCAGCGUUCUUUAGAACUUUCUUGAGAUGAAUGAAGCAUAGGCGGCUGAUUUGAACUAAUGAAUUGAGUGUAGAAAACUAUUGCAUCCCCUGGUCGUGGAAUUUUGGCGAUGGAUGAGUCCAAUGCUACCUGCGGGAAGCGUUUAGCUUCAAUCGG
rnacentral:lncRNA from 1 species